rnacentral:rRNA from 1 species
UACGUAGGGGGCGAGCGUUGUCCGGAUUUAUUGGGCGUAAAGAGCUCGUAGGCGGUUCGAUAAGUCGGACGUGAAAUCUCCACGCUCAACGUGGAGGGGCCGUUCGAUACUGUCGUGACUCGAGUCCGGUAGGGGAGUGUGGAAUUCCUGGUGUAGCGGUGAAAUGCGCAGAUAUCAGGAAGAACACCCGUGGCGAAGGCGGCUCUCUGGGACGGUACUGACGCUGAGACGCGAAAGCGUGGGGAGCAAACAGG